UACUCCGAGCUCCCACGAUAAUCGAUCUUCGAUUGAGUUUCUACAAUAAGCGGUCCCCUUUCGGCCUUCUACAAGGAUCAGAUUCCAUCCAAACUUACAUAGCGGGUGGAUAUCGGACGAGCUUCUACGAUGGACAGACUCCGACAGCCGAUCUUGUCAGAGCACCCCCAACUCUGGUUUAGACUUCCCUUACAGGUCCCGGCAG
rnacentral:lncRNA from 1 species